ensembl:lncRNA
UCACAUACCUCUAAAUUCACCCAACUGCGUAGAAGCAAAAUCUGGGUGGCCGCCGUCAAGUACCGCCGUUCGUCUUCAUUCAAAGAUGUACCGUUGGUUUGGGAGGUCUCGCGAGAUCUCGCACAGUGUCCCUUCCCGGGCACCGUACAAUCCCGCCACUGAAUGUAUAGAUACCGGAAGCUUGCGAGCGGUAAAACUGGUUACGGCGUGUUUAGGUUAUAGCAUGGAUGCUGAGGACAUUUGCGUGAGAUAGCGUUGCUUGCCCAGUCUAGUUGACUAACGUUAGCUACGUUACAAGACAGUUACAGUAAUAGCUAUGUCGAAAAGAAAACACAACGUUACUCUCAACACGAAAGAAAAAGAUUGGUUGAGAGAAAACGUUCCAAGACGUACUUUGACAAGAUGGAAAAAAAGGAAAAUCAACAGAACUUUGACUGACAUUGAAAAACACACUGCUCAACGACAUGAAAUUGAUGAAGGUGCCAGCCAAAGCGAAGAGCAGAGAGCAGAGCCUUUCACAUUAACACAGGAAAUUGAUGAAGAUGCCAGCCAAAGCGAAGAGCAGAGAGCAGAGCCUUUCACAUCAACACAGGAAAUUGAUGAGGAUGCCAGCCAAAGCGAAGAGCAGAGAGCAGAGCCUUUCACAUUAACACAGGAAAUUGAUGAGGAUGCCAGCCAAAGCGAAGAGCAGAGAGCAGAGCCUUUCACAUCAACACAGGACAAUGUACCUCAAGCAAUAGAUGAUGUCCACACCCAAGGACUAACGGAAGAGCAAAGUUGCAUCUCGAUUCUCUCCUUUGCAUUGAGACACAACACUACAGGUGUAUUGAUGGAAGACCUGCUGAAACUUUUAAAGUUACAUUCUGCUGGGACAAGUGCAAUUCCAGCAAGCAAGUAUUUUUUGGGGAAACCAUUAGCUGGUAUUGUAGAUCAAUUUGAACACCAUCAUUACUGCAGCGUAUGUACUAAGUACCUUGGCACUUCACAGUCACAAGAAGAAACACUUACAUGCGUGUCAUGUUCCUCAUCCAUAACAGUAAAAGCCAGUUUACACGAAGGACAUUUCUUUAUCAGUAUUCCAUUAAAGGGCCAACUGAAAGAUAUUCUUGAGAAUCAGGGUAUGCAUGAUCUCUGUUUUCCUGCUGAUGACAGUAGUAGAGAAGUAAUAAAUGAUAUAUGUGAUGGCACCUUAUAUCAGGCCUUGCAGUCAAACAGUGAAGUGGAUUUCCUUUCCCUUACAUUUAAUUGUGAUGGUGUACCAGUCUUUCAGUCCUCUAAAUUUAGUAUUUGGCCAAUACUGUGUUGUGUUAAUGAGAUACCCCCUCAGUGCAGAGAUAAGCAUGUACUUUUAUGUGCUUUGUGGUUCGGUUCCAAAAAGCCAGACAUGACCUGUUUCUUCAAACCAUUUGUGGAGGAAUGUGCCAAUCUUUCAAAAACUGGUUUUAAGUGGCAUCAUCCUAUUGAUCAGUCAUGGAGAAAUGUGAAGGUGCACCCAUUGUGCUGUGUGUGUGAUGCAGUAGCAAGGCCUUUACUACAGAAUUUUAAGCAAUUUAAUGGUGAAUAUGGCUGUGGAGUCUGCCUUCACCCUGGGGUGCAAAUGAGGAAAGGACAAGGAAACUCAAGAGUUUACACAUGUUCAGCUGAAAAACCAAGUGACAGAAAUCACAAAACCACAGUAGAAAUAGGACAAAUUGCUGAAAGAGAAGGGAAGACUAUAUUGGGCAUAAAGGGCCCAUCUGCUAUUGUAGAUUUAGCAAAGUUUGAUCUAAUCAAUGGGAUGGUCCCUGACUAUAUGCACUGUGUGUUGCUUGGCGUGUGUAGACAAAUGGCGACUUUAUGGAUCGAUUCUAAGAGCUAUUCUGAGCCAUGGUACAUUGGCACACAAACAGCAAUCAUGGACAGACACCUCUUGUCUAUAAAACCACCAGGUAUUGUUGCUCGAGUUCCAAGAUCUCUCACUGAACGCAAGUUCUGGAAAGCCCACGAGUGGCAACACUGGCUUCUGUAUUAUAGCUUGCCAGUUCUGAAAGGCAUACUUCCACAGAAGUAUCACUCUCAUUGGGCGUUACUGAUAGAGGGCAUAAGCAUUCUGUUGGGAUCUGAAUUAAGUACAGAGCAGAUAAAUCACGCCCAUGACGCAUUAGUGUACUUUGUUGGAGGUGUGCAAGCGCUGUAUGGGGAAGAGCACAUGACAUUCAAUGUUCAUUCACUUCUGCAUUUAAGCCAAAGUGUUGUGCAUUGGGGUCCAUUGUGGGCCCACUCAGCCUUUAUGUUUGAAGCUUUCAAUGGAUACCUACUGAAACAAGUAAAAAGUAGUCAAGCUGUACCACAACAAAUAUGCAAACGAGUGAUGUUGUCCCGUGCUUUUCCCCGUUUAGCAAAACAAUUCCUAACAAAUGCACCAGCAGAGGUUAAAGAUUUCUGUAAUGAAAUGAGAACCGAAAAGCAUCAUGUCAAGAAGUUUGCAAAGUUUGCUGAGGUGACUGCCCUUGGUCCACCAAAUGUAAGAUUAAUAUCUGUUGGUGAUCAAGCUGCCCUCCACACAGUGAAACAGGUUCCCACAAACUAUGUGGUGAAUUACUACAAGAGAAUUGCUGUAAAUGCAGAAGUUGUACAUGGUCAUACCUACAGCAAAACAAAACAAAGAAACAACUCUAUUGUGCUUUUGAAGGAUGGGAGUAUUUUUAGAGUCUCCCACUUUAUUGACAUUGGUGAUCAGUGUUUAUAUGCCAUAGGGAACUAUGGUAAAUGCACAGUGCAGAAGUUAGCCAGAGGUUCUCUUAUCAAAACUCCACUGAGCUACAUGUCAACGGUGCACUUUCCCACAGGCUUUCACAAAGCCAUAAACACUACUCAGGUAGUUGGACCAUGUAUGUAUAUUCAGUGUCCACAAUCCAGCUCGUUUGUGUGUCGGCUGCUGAAGACAUAUUAUUGUAAAUGAAUGAUUGUGAACUAAAUGUGAAGAUGGUCACCUAUUAAUUUAGGGUCGCUGAGCUGGAAAGUAACUAAUUGCUAUUACUGUUACUGUAAUUGAGUGUAAUUGUACUGUGACUGAACUGUACGUUCUUUAACUUUAAGGUGAGAAACACAAAUCUAUUACCAAUGUAACUAUGAUGAAAUGGCAUAUAUCAGAAUGACAAAUACAUUUAUUCUUCUUUGAUACCUUUGCAAUGCAUGUCAUCAACUUGUAUGUAUUUCAAUGUAACGUCCAAAAAGAGACAAGUGCAAAACAACUUAAAGUUGCAUCUUAAUCAACUUGGGUCAGUUGGGUCAUGUAAAAAGAAAAAAAAUCCAUUGCCACUUUUCUGAAUUUUAAGUAAAUAUGCAACUUGUGUAAUGUCAUUUGCUAAUUUUGUGAAAAAUUAAAAUCUUUCUACAGCAAGAAAGGAGGGAGU